CCUACGGGGGGCAGCAGUGAGGAAUAUUGGUCAAUGGCCGGAAGGCUGAACCAGCCAUGCCGCGUGAAGGUCAGUGCCCUAUGGGCGUUAAACUUCUUUUGUGCGGGAGCAAUAAUGGUCACGUGUGGCCAGACGAGAGUACCGUACGAAUAAGCAUCGGCUAACUCCGUGCCAGCAGCCGCGGUUAUACGGGGGAUACAAGCGUUAUCCGGAUUUAUUGGGUUUAAAGGGUGCGUAGGCUGUGAGGUAAGUCAGCGGGGAAAUGCCCCCGCUCAACGGGGUGAAGUGCCAUUGAUACUGGCUUGCUUGAAUGCGGAUGCGGUGGGAGGAAUGUGUGGUGUAGCGGUGAAAUGCAUAGAUAUCACACAGAACACCGAUUGCGAAGGCAUCUCACGAAUCCGCGAUUGACGCUGAUGCACGAAAGCGUGGGUAUCAAACAGGAUUAGAUACCCUUGUAGUC
rnacentral:rRNA from 1 species